rnacentral:rRNA from 1 species
GCCAGACUCCUACGGGAGGCAGCAGUGAGGAAUAUUGGUCAAUGGGCGAGAGCCUGAACCAGCCAAGUCGCGUGAAGGAUGACGGCCCUACGGGUUGUAAACUUCUUUUGUCAGGGAGCAAUUGGGUCCACGCGUGGGCUUAGCGAGAGUACCUGAAGAAAAAGCAUCGGCUAACUCCGUGCCAGCAGCCGCGGUAAUACGGAGGAUGCGAGCGUUAUCCGGAUUUAUUGGGUUUAAAGGGUGCGCAGGCGGAUUUUUAAGUCAGCGGUCAAAUCGUGGGGCUCAACCCCAUCCAGCCGUUGAAACUGGGGAUCUAGGGUGUGCGAGAGGUAUGCGGAAUGCGUGGUGUAGCGGUGAAAUGCAUAGAUAUCACGCAGAACUCCGAUUGCGAAGGCAGCUUACUAAACUAUAACUGACACUGAAGCACGAAAGCGUGGGGAUCAAACAGGAUUAGAUACCCCCGUAC